UAGCUUUAGCAGCACAUACACUAAAAUUGGAACAAUACAGCGAAGAUUAGCAUGGCCCCUGCAUUAGGAUGACACACAAAUUCCUGCAGCGUUCAUAAAACAA